GGCCUCAGAGGGUCGUGCACGCCAUCAGACAGCUUGGCCAACUAAUCGCAAAAGCAUUAUUUUUAUUUUAUUUUAUUUUAUUUUAUUUUAAAAUAAAAAAGUAAUUUGGCAAAGACAUAAUAUAAAAAAGCUGAGUUGAUGAAAAAUUAAAUAUGUUUGAUUCUUCUUAUCUGCCUGGCACAUUAAAUUUCAUGCCGGAAAUGGCGGGAAUCUGAGGCUUAACGUUACUUGAAUAUUAUACGUUUGCAUUUGAUACGUUUGUGAUAUACAAACUAAAAUACAGUCGGAUAAAUAUUGUAAUAAGAAGAUGGGAUUAUCAAAAACGAAGCUUUCUUCGACUUUACAGUGGAAAGUCCGCGAAGUGAAGUGUACACAGUGUGGUUUCUCUGGAUGGCCCGCACGUCUUCAGCACCGGCAGAAUCCUCUAAGGACCUGGCCUGACUCAUCUGCGUCUGUGACAGUGGACUCCAUUGCUUCAGUAAGAUGGAUGGCGAGUGUGUAAAGGAGCUGACAUCACAACACUUACUGGGAGGCAGCGCAAGCAGCCCCCCGGUGACCUGCAAUUCAAGCUCCAGAUUAUGGUUGUUCAUUGUUUGUUUCUCCUCCUUGUUCAGGCUCGGCGACAGACCGCUGUCCUAACGGCGCGCACAAAUUAAAGCCUCGUAACUAAAUCUGUGACUUGUGUGAAGAGUCUAGCAACAUAUAGGUUGUGGUUGAAUUGUGCCGUGAUUAUCAUUAAUGCGAUAUCAGCAACUUUCCUUCAUAGAUAUUUAAUUAGACAGCUGUUUAUGUUUGUGCAAUUU